rfam:Ovis aries breed Texel chromosome 3, whole genome shotgun sequence.
UCCCUGGUAGCUUAGAGGGUAAAGCAUCUGCCUGCAAUGCAGGAGACCCAGGUUCAAUCCCUGGGUUGGGAA